rnacentral:rRNA from 1 species
AUUGAACGCUGGCGGCAGGCCUAACACAUGCAAGUCGAGCGAGCGGCGGACGGGUGAGUAAUGCAUAGGUAUCUGCCUGGGCGUGGGGGAUAACGUCCGGAAACGGGCGCUAAUACCGAAUACUCUCGGAUGCACCAAUAUGGGAUUAGCUAUUAGGUGGGGUAAAGGCUCACCUAGGCGACGAUCCCUAGCUGGUCUGAGAGGAGGACCAGCCACACUGGAACUGAGACACGGUCCAGACUCCUACGGGAGGCAGCAGUGGGGAAUAUUGCACAAUGGGCGCAAGCCUGAUGCAGCCAUGCCGCGUGUAUGAAGAAGGCCUUCGGGUUGUAAAGUACUUUCAGCGGGGAGGCGUUACCCGCAGAAGAAGCACCGGCUAACUCCGUGCCAGCAGCCGCGGUAAUUC